UACGGAGGGGGCUAGCGUUGUUCGGAAUUACUGGGCGUAAAGCGCGCGUAGGCGGCUUUGUAAGUUAGAGGUGAAAGCCCGGAGCUCAACUCCGGAAUUGCCUUUAAGACUGCAUCGCUAGAAUCAUGGAGAGGUCAGUGGAAUUCCGAGUGUAGAGGUGAAAUUCGUAGAUAUUCGGAAGAACACCAGUGGCGAAGGCGGCUGACUGGACAUGUAUUGACGCUGAGGUGCGAAAGCGUGGGGAGCAAACAGG
rnacentral:rRNA from 1 species